rnacentral:rRNA from 1 species
AGAAUCAACGCUGGCGGCGUGCCUAACACAUGCAAGUCGAACGCGAAAGCCCCGCAAGGGGUUAGUAGAGUGGCAAACGGGUGAGUAACACGUGGGUGACCUGCCUUCGAGUGGGGGAUAACGUCCCGAAAGGGACGCUAAUACCGCAUGACAUCCUGCCUUUGGAAAGGCGGAGAUCAAAGCUGGGGAUCGCAAGACCUGGCGCUUGAAGAGGGGCCCGCGCCUGAUUAGCUAGUUGGUAGGGUAACGGCCUACCAAGGCAACGAUCAGUA